GCUUUUGCAGCCAUGGCAGGUAAGGAGACAGAUUUUGUGGUUUAAAUACAAGCAGCUGCACAAUCUUCCCUUCAAAUUUCUAAGACGAUCCUCGCGUUUCGUAGGAUAAACUCAAAGCGAUUAGGCCCGGCUUUGUGGAAAAGUCCUCCAAAGAACUAAUAAAUCAGCUCCUGGACGACCUGCUGGGGGACAAAAUCUUCAAUGAUGGGGAGAAAGACUCAAUACUGGAGGA